rnacentral:rRNA from 1 species
GACGAACGCUGGCGGCGUGCCUAAUACAUGCAAGUCGAACGCUUUUUCUUUCACCGGAGCUUGCUCCACCGAAAGAAAAAGAGUGGCGAACGGGUGAGUAACACGUGGGUAACCUGCCCAUCAGAAGGGGAUAACACUUGGAAACAGGUGCUAAUACCGUAUAACACUAUUUUCCGCAUGGAAGAAAGUUGAAAGGCGCUUUGCGUCACUGAUGGAUGGACCCGCGGUGCAUUAGCUAGUUGGUGAGGUAACGGCUCACCAAGGCAACGAUGCAUAGCCGACCUGAGAGGGUGAUCGGCCACACUGGGACUGAGACACGGCCCAGACUCCUACGGGAGGCAGCAGUAGGGAAUCUUCGGCAAUGGACGAAAGUCUGACCGAGCAACGCCGCGUGAGUGAAGAAGGUUUUCGGAUCGUAAAACUCUGUUGUUAGAGAAGAAACAAGGA